rnacentral:rRNA from 1 species
GGUCCGGCUAAUUACGUGCCAGCAGCCGCGGUAAUACGUAAGGACCGAGCGUUGUCCGGAAUCAUUGGGCGUAAAGAGUACGUAGGCGGUAUGAUAAGUUAGGAGUAAAAGGCACCGGCUCAACCGGCGUAAGCUUUUAAAACUGUCAUACUUGAGACAUUGAGGGGAAAGUGGAAUUUCUAGUGUAGCGGUGAAAUGCGCAGAUAUUAGGAAGAAUACCAGAGGCGAAAGCGACUUUCUAGCGAUGAUCUGACGCUGAGGUACGAAAGCGUGGGAAGCAAACAGGAUUAGAUACCCUGGUAGUCCACGCCGUAAACGAUGAGCACUAGGUAUCGGGGUCAGAAGACUUCGGUGCCGCCGUUAACGCAUUAAGUGCUCCGCCUGGGGAGUACGUACGCA